rnacentral:rRNA from 1 species
AGUGCGUCGGCUUACCAUGCAGUCGAGCGGGGAAAGGUAGCUUGCUACUGGACCUAGCGGCGGACGGGUGAGUAAUGCUUAGGAAUCUGCCUAUUAGUGGGGGACAACAUUCCGAAAGGAAUGCUAAUACCGCAUACGUCCUACGGGAGAAAGCAGGGGACCUUCGGGCCUUGCGCUAAUAGAUGAGCCUAAGUCGGAUUAGCUAGUUGGUGGGGUAAAGGCCUACCAAGGCGACGAUCUGUAGCGGGUCUGAGAGGAUGAUCCGCCACACUGGGACUGAGACACGGCCCAGACUCCUACGGGAGGCAGCAGUGGGGAAUAUUGGACAAUGGGGGGAACCCUGAUCCAGCCAUGCCGCGUGUGUGAAGAAGGCCUUAUGGUUGUAAAGCACUUUAAGCGAGGAGGAGGCUACUAGUAUUAAUACUACUGGAUAGUGGACGUUACUCGCAGAAUAAGCACCGGCUAACUCUGUGCCAGCAGCCGCGGUAAUACAGAGGGUGCGAGCGUUAAUCGGAUUUACUGGGCGUAAAGCGUGCGUAGGCGGCCAUUUAAGUCAAAUGUGAAAUCCCCGAGCUUAACUUGGGAAUUGCAUUCGAUACUGGAUGGCUAGAGUAUGGGAGAGGAUGGUAGAAUUCCAGGUGUAGCGGUGAAAUGCGUAGAGAUCUGGAGGAAUACCGAUGGCGAAGGCAGCCAUCUGGCCUAAUACUGACGCUGAGGUACGAAAGCAUGGGGAGCAAACAGGAUUAGAUACCCUGGUAGUCCAUGCCGUAAACGAUGUCUACUAGCCGUUGGGGCCUUUGAGGCUUUAGUGGCGCAGCUAACGCGAUAAGUAGACCGCCUGGGGAGUACGGUCGCAAGACUAAAACUCAAAUGAAUUGACGGGGGCCCGCACAAGCGGUGGAGCAUGUGGUUUAAUUCGAUGCAACGCGAAGAACCUUACCUGGCCUUGACAUACUAGAAACUUUCCAAAGAUGGAUUGGUGCCUUCGGGAAUCUAAAUACAGGGGCUGCAUGGCUGGCCUCAACUCCGGGCCUGAGAAUGUUGGGUUAAUCCCCCAACAAGCGCACCCUUUUCUUAUUUGCCAGUUUUC